rnacentral:rRNA from 1 species
GACGAACGCUGGCGGCGUGCUUAACACAUGCAAGUCGAACGGAAAGGCCCUGCUUGCAGGGUACUCGAGUGGCGAACGGGUGAGUAACACGUGGGUGAUCUGCCCUGCACUUCGGGAUAAGCUUGGGAAACUGGGUCUAAUACCGGAUAGGAGCCAUCUUUAGUGUGGUGGUUGGAAAGUUUUUUCGGUGUUGGAUGAGUUCGCGGCCUAUCAGCUUGUUGGUGGGGUAAUGGCCUACCAAGGCGGCGACGGGUAGCCGGCCUGAGAGGGUGUACGGCCACAUUGGGACUGAGAUACGGCCCAGACUCCUACGGGAGGCAGCAGUGGGGAAUAUUGCACAAUGGGCGCAAGCCUGAUGCAGCGACGCCGCGUGGGGGAUGAAGGCCUUCGGGUUGUAAACUCCUUUCGCUAGGGACGAAGCUUUGUUGUGACGGUACCUAGAUAAGAAGCACCGGCUAACUACGUG